GGCACGACUCCACUUCCUCUCGUUCCGUUUCAUAUCAAGAAAGGAGAUUCAUUCCCCCGGCUCGGGGUGCGGCAGUGUGGAGACCUGCCGUAAUGCAGGCCGCACAUUUUCCGGCGGCUGCGAGGACGUUUCGGGCGGAUGUCAAACGUCCUGAGUCAAAACAUAUGUC
rnacentral:ncRNA from 1 species